rnacentral:tRNA from 1 species
GCUGGCGUAGCUCAGAGGUAGAGCAGCUGAUUUGUAAUCAGCCGGUCGGAGGUUCAAUUCCUCUCGCCAGCCCCA